rnacentral:tRNA from 1 species
UUGAAAAAGUCAUAGGGUCUAUGGGAUUGGCUUGAAACCAAUUUUUGGGGGUUCAAAUCCUUCCUUUUUCGG